UACGUAGGGGCGCAAGCGUUAUCCGGAAUUAUUGGGGCGUAAAAGAGCUCGUAGGCGGUUUGUCGCGUCUGCCGUGAAAGUCCGGGGCUCAACUCCGGAUCUGCGGUGGGUACGGGCAGACUAGAGUGAUGUAGGGGAGACUGGAAUUCCUGGUGUAGCGGUGAAAUGCGCAGAUAUCAGGAGGAACACCGAUGGCGAAGGCAGGUCUCUGGGCAUUAACUGACGCUGAGGAGCGAAAGCAUGGGGAGCGAACGGG
rnacentral:rRNA from 1 species